UCCCCUUAAAAAGCAACUGGAUGUUAAUCAUUUUAGCAUACAGUGAAGAUUAGCAUGGCCACUUCGCAGAGAUGACACGCACAAAUCGAGAAAUGGUUCAAAUUGUU